GUCAACAAUAUACAUUUUAAUUUGUCAUUCUGUCAUAUUAUGGUAAAACAACUAAAUAGGUAAUGUGCCAUCUUUCCUGUUUUUCCUGCGUUUUACCCCCUUUUCCGGGUUGUUCACAUUUGUUGAGAAAAAUCCUGGGAAAAUCAAAAAAUGACCUCCCUAAAGUACCUUUUCCAGUCAGAUUUGCUUUCAUAAAAAGUGCUAUCAUUGUAAAUCGGAGCGAAAUUUCUGAUAAAAAAGUUAUCCACAGAAAAAAAACCGUAAUAUUUCACUUAUAUAUGUUUCGUA